rnacentral:lncRNA from 1 species
AUUCUGUUUUCUGUUGUUGUUAUAAUAAAUGUUAUUAUAUUAAAAAAGGUCAUGGUAAGUAAGUACUUAUAUUUAUUUUAUUUCUAUAUCUUAUAAAUGUAACUUGUAUUUUAGCGCAUAAAAUAUGGAUAAAGAACAAGUAUGUGGUAAUUGCAACAAAUCAUUUUAUGAUAUUUCAAACAUACGAAGGCAUAUAAAAAAAUUUCAUGAAAAUGAUGCCUUAUUAUUACCUUCGUAUAAGUAAUAAAACGAAAAUGCUUAUGCUUAUACCUGCAAUUGUGGCAAAAAUUUCUCAAGGAAAAACCUGUUUACUUAUCACUUAAAAAGUCAUUCAAAAGAUGGUGAAUCUUCUAACAUAAAUGUGCAGGGGCAAAAAUGUCCAAUAUGUAAUUUUACUUGCACUUCUGAACAAGAUCUUCAUAAACAUUUUACAAGUUGUCAUGAUAUACCUAUUAAGCAGGAGCUUUUAACAUUUGAAACUUUCGAAGAUUUUGAGAGUUUUAAAAACAACUUUGAAAAUGAGACUGGGUCUAGGAUUAUAAUACUCCGAAGUAAAACAUCAUCAUCAGGCAAAUAUGCAAAGUAUGCUUGUAACAGGUCUGCUGGCUACAAUCCAUCACUUCAAAAUCGUAAACGUCAUUUGAAGACCCAAGGUACCAAUAAACCUGCCCUGCAGGGAUUAUCCUUUCGGGAGGUGAUGAUAUAAAAUGGACCUGUAAAAUUAUAAAAAAUCAUGUAGGGCAUAACAAAGAUUUGGGCCAUUUAAAUUUAAGCUCCUUGGAAAAGAAAAUAUGUGCGGAAAAAAUUGCUUCAAAAGUACCCUUUCAAGUGAUUCUGAAUGAUAUCAGAGACUCCGUGUCUGACUCAAAAUUGCAAAGAUUGCAGCUGUUCACUCGAAAAGACCUUUUUAACAUUGAAAAGUCGUCCAAUUUAUGUUCAGAAGCCAUAAGGCAUAACAAUGAUGCAACAAGUGUCCAGACAAAAGAAGAAGGAAACAUGUGUAUAUUAUUUUACAAAUUCCAAGACACUGUUAUUGAAGAGCACCCUGAAUUAAAACAAGAUGACUUUGUCCUCAUUAUAAUGAAUCAGGCUCAAUGUGAAAUAUUACAAAAGGUUUGUUCAGAUUGUGUAUGUUUGGAUAGCAUACAUAGCAUGAACAUGUAUGACUUCCAGUUAACAACUUUAAUGAUAAUUGACGAUAUGCGCCAAGGGUUUCCUUGUGCCUUUCUACUUUCAAAUAGAGUGGACAAGGAAAUUCUAAAACUAUUUUUUUCUUAUGGAAGAAACCAUUUUGAUGUCAUAGCUCCUCGGGUUCUUAUGACCGAUAUUGCUGAUUCGUUUUACAAUGCUUGGAUUGAAGUAAUGCAUAAGCCAGUUAUGAGAUAAUAUUCAAAUUUUGUUUUUAUUGUAUUACCUACAUAGAGUUUAUAUUUUACAGACUCUAUUGUUCCUGGCAUAUUCGAUCAAGCUUGGAGGAAAACUUCCAAAGAUCAGAAAUAAAGAAAAACAGGUUUGCUUUUAUGCAGAUGUAUGAAUGUAGGAUACACAAUAUGCAAUUUUAAAUAUGUUUAUUCCUUUACAGGAGGCUUCUAUUGGUGGUGGCCCACAAAUGCCUGUGUUUAUUUUUUAAUUGUCAAUUUUUCCUAAAAAUACCUCCUACUUUAUUUGAUUUUAUUAAAAUUUUCAAAAUAAAGAAGAAACAUAACAUCAUAUUAUUUAUUUAAAAUAGUAACAUUUCGACGAUUCUUGCGCUAAUUGAAUAAAAGCUCAUGCAAAUUUUUGUUGUAGACGAUUAAUGAAAGCCUUUCACGAAGGAAUUUUUCAAAAAUAUUGAGAUCUAUAAAUUAUUAAGAAAUCUUAUGGAAGAGAGAGACAUUACAGACCUUAGUAAAAUUAGAGAUAAGUUUUGUCAAAAAAUAUUGGAAGAUCCAGAUACCCAAGAAUUUGGAGAGUAUUUUACAAAAUAUUAUACCAAGAAUUGUGAAUCAUGGGCUUAUUGCUUUAGAUUAAAUUCAGGAUUAAACACUAAUAUGCACCUAGAACGGAUGCACGGGACAUUAAAACAUAUAUACCUUGGUGGAAAACGAGUCAAAAGACUAGAUAAGGCAAUAUAUGCCAUAAUGAAGUUUAUAAAAGACAUGUUAUUUGACAGAAUAAUUAUUUUAAACAAAGGUAAAAUUACCAGCAAAAUAUGAGAUAUUCGUAAUAGACAUAAAAAUAGUCUCAAGUUAAAUCCUGACUUAUUGGUACAAUCCAGUGAUGGGUGGGAAGUUCCAUCUUCAAAAUUUGGAGAAAUUUACUAUAUUAAAGAGUUUAACUUGACUUGUAAGUGCCAGUUAGUAAAAUAAAAUAUAUAAUAAUAAUAUAAAAUAUCUGGUUUGGUACCAGAUAUUGCAUCUGAUUCAAGAAGAAAAUUCUUUAGUAAUAGCAUCUGAAGACGAAGCAAAAAUAGAAACGGAUAUUUUAGCUAUCCAUGUUACCAGUAGUAAUAAGAACAAUAGUGAAAAUGCCAAUAUUACUAAGGAACUUGAAAAAGUCAAGCAUGAGAUUCUUAAUUCACUUUUAAAUGUAAAAACAAUGGCUCAGCUUGAAGUGGUGAAAAAAUGUAUUAGACCAAUAAAACCAAAACUAAAAACCCUAGAAGAUUAUUCAUCUCGAUCCCAAAUCAACAGUAAACGCCAACCUUUAGUUCCAGCGAAUAAAAAUAUAUUGCCUCAAAGGCGAUUUUAUGCUACAAAAAAAACAAAGCAAUUCAAAAAAGCUUCCGUUAAAAGACCCUCAUUGCGAAGCACAAAACAUGACCUUAUCACUCAUAGGUAAUGUGAAUUUUGUAAACCAUUUGUAAAUCAUUUUUACAACAAAAUAAAAGAAAAUACAUUUUUUUGUUAAU